rnacentral:rRNA from 1 species
AUACGAAGGGGGCUAGCGUUGUUCGGAAUUACUGGGCGUAAAGCGCAUGUAGGCGGGCAUUUAAGUCAGGGGUGAAAUCCCGGGGCUCAACCUCGGAACUGCCGGUUUGAUACUGGGUGUCUAGAGUGUGGAAGAGGUAAGUGGAAUUCCGAGUGUAGAGGUGAAAUUCGUAGAUAUUCGGAGGAACACCAGUGGCGAAGGCGGCUUACUGGUCCAUUACUGACGCUGAGGUGCGAAAGCGUGGGGAGC